GAUACGAUUAAUCUCGCAAUCAGCGUGCCAAUCCCUAUCCGGUAAGACAGCGAGAGGACGGGCGGCGUAAAGAUCGGCGCCGAUCGCUGGCCGUCCAUCUCGGAACCUGCGGACAGGCGUGAGCCGGGCGGGGUCCGCCACGAGGGAGGAUACGCCGCCCGCGAGAUCAGGUGGUAUAUUGGAGAAAACGUCAACGGAGCGUGGGUGCGUGUGUCUUGGACUAUUGCCUUGCCGAAGACGACGAUCUCUCUUCGCCUCUCCGUCCCCCCCAGGUCUCCUCCUCUGCUCGUCUCCGGUUAGCAUUCAAGUUUAAUUGUUCAGGGUCCAGGUGGAUCAAGCACCAGGGUUAAUAAGUAUAACUGUUAUCUAUUUAGCUAGUGCUUGUUGUGGUUUACUAAUGAGCAUUCGCGUCCGGGGACUUUGAUCCAACUUCAGCCGAUGGGGAAACGGCAAGGGAUGCACCGGUAUCUGGACACGUGAUGGACCCAGUAGUAAAUAUUCCUUUGUGGAAGGCUUUGGUUAUACCUGGGUAGCAAAGCGAAGUUUCUGGUGGGUAGGUGUCUAAAACAACCCUCUGCAAGGAAGCACGCCCGUAUCAAUCCUUUAAUCGGAGACUACUAAAUUAGCACACCAGAAUGCAGAUUUAGGUGUUCCUUUCCAAAGUUACAUACUGGUGAAUUUGUUCGGAUUCUUGAUCAUAUACCUUGAAAUAAAAUAAACUGAUGAAUCUGCCCU